rnacentral:rRNA from 1 species
GAUGAACGCUGGCGGCGUGCCUAAUACAUGCAAGUCGAGCGAACAGACGAGUAGCUUGCUCCUCUGACGGUAGCGGCGGACGGGUGAGUAACACGUGGAUAACCUACCUAUAAGACUGGGAUAACUUCGGGAAACCUGAGCUAAGACCGGCGAAUAUAGUGAACCGCAUGGUUCAAUAGUUAUAGACGGGUUGGCUGUCACUCAUACAUGGAGCCUCGCCGCAUUAGAUGGUUGUUAAGGUAACGGCCUACGAAGGCAACGAUGCGUAGCCGACCUGAGAGGGUGGUAGGCGACACUGGAGCGGAGACACGCUCCAGACUACUGAGGGACGGACCAGUAGGCAACGUGAGGCAGUGGGCGAGAGUAUGACGGAGCAAGGGGGAGCCAGUGGUGGCGAUCUCCGGAUCGUGAAGAUCUGUUAUUAGGGAAGAACCAAUGUGUACGUAGAUGAGGAGGAAUUGACGGUACCUAAUGAAGAAGCACCGGCUAACUACGUG